GCUUGUCUCAAAGAUUAAGCCAUGCAUGUCUUAGUGUAAAUAACUCUUAUGAAACUGCGAAUGGCUCAUUAAAUCAGUUAUCAAAUACGUGAUGGUCGCCUACUACAUGGAUAACCGUAGUAAUUCUAGAGCUAAUACAUGCACAAAAUCCCGACUUACGAAGGGAUGUAUUUAUUAGAUACAAACCAACAUCGUGGUGAUUCAUAAUAACUUUGCGAAUCGUAUGCCUCACGGCGACGAUGAAUCAUUCAAAUUUCUGCCCUAUCAACUGUCGACUGUGAUAUAGACGCUCACAGUGGUUUUGACGGGUAACGGGGAAUCAGGGUUCGAUUCCGGAGAGGGAGCCUUAAAAACGGCUACCACAUCCAAGGAAGGCAGCAGG
rnacentral:rRNA from 1 species